rnacentral:lncRNA from 1 species
AACGCAAUCAUUACUGAUUCUCGCAAAGCCUGCGCCCGCUACAUGGCAGGGGAAAUUUCACCCCUUGCCUACCAAAAUCUGCGGGCAAGCACGUGGUU